rnacentral:rRNA from 1 species
ACACCUGUUCCCAUUCCGAACACAGAAGUUA